GAGUAUUGAUCCUCGGCUCAGAAUGGAACGGCUGGCGGCGUGCUAUAACACAUGCAAGUCGCACGAGGAACGCUUCUGCUUGCAGAAGGCUAGUAAAAGUGGCGCACGGGUGAGUAACGCGUGGGUAAUCUACCUGCGAAUCGGGGAUAACAUUGCGAAAGCGAUGCUAACACCGGAUGAUAUCUAAUGGACUUCGGACCAUAGGAUCAAAGGUGGCCUCUAUAUAUAAGCUUCCGUUUGAAGAUGAGCCCGCGUACCAUUAGCUUGUUGGUAGGGUAAUGGCCUACCAAGGCAACGAUGGUUAGCUGGUCUGAGAGGAUGAUCAGCCACACUGGAACUGACACACGGUCCAGACUCCUACGGGAGGCAGCAGUGAGGAAUUUUGCGCAAUGGGGGAAACCCUGACGCAGCAACGCCGCGUGAGUGAUGAAGGCCUUCGGGUCGUAAAGCUCUGUCAAGUGGGAAGAACCUAUUGGAUGUUAAUACCAUCCAGUACUGACGGUACCACUGAAGGAAGCACCGGCUAACUCCGUGCCAGCAGCCGCGGUAGUACGGAGGGUGCAAGCGUUGUUCGGAAUUACUGGGCGUAAAGGGCGCGUAGGCGGCGCUGUAAGUCAGAUGUGAAAGUCCACGGCUUAACCGUGGAAGUGCAUCUGAUACUGCAGUGCUUGAGUAUCGGAGGGGAAAGUAGAAUUCCCGGUGUAGAGGUGAAAUUCGUAGAUAUCGGGAGGAAUACCGGUGGCGAAAGGCGACUUUCUGGACGAAUACUGACGCUGAUGCGCGAAAGCGUGGGGAGCAAACAGGA
rnacentral:rRNA from 1 species